AUUUGCACAUAAGCGCGAGGGGCCUUCCACGACCCCCAAGUGUUUAUAAAUUCCCCUAUUUCACAUGUCACUCUUCAGUUCUCAUUUGCCAGAGGACCCUCCUUUUGAGUGGCUUAUCUCUGCUCUCUCACCUUCUUAUCAAACUCCCUUCUUCUUCUCCCCAUCUCUCUCUCCAUGGAUCCUUACAAGCACCGCCCUUCAAGUGCUUUUGAUUCCCCAUACUGGACCACAAACGCCGGUGCUCCAGUUUGGAACAACGACUCUUCUUUGACUGUUGGACCAAGAGGUCCAGUUCUCCUUGAGGACUAUCAUCUGGUGGAGAAACUUGCCACCUUUGAUAGAGAACGAAUCCCAGAGCGUGUUGUCCAUGCUAGGGGAGCCAGUGCGAAGGGAUUCUUUGAGGUCACUCAUGAUAUUUCUCAGCUAACAUGUGCCGACUUCCUUCGAGCCCCUGGUGUUCAGACACCUGUCAUUGUGCGUUUCUCCACUGUUAUCCAUGAGCGUGGCAGCCCUGAAACCCUGAGGGAUCCUCGUGGUUUUGCAGUGAAGUUUUACACCAGAGAGGGUAAUUUUGACCUGGUUGGAAACAAUUUCCCCGUCUUUUUUGUCCGUGAUGCAAUGAAAUUCCCGGACGCGAUCCGUGCUUUCAAACCGAACCCCAAGUCGCACAUCCAAGAGACUUGGAGGAUCCUUGACUUCUUCUCCCACCUUCCAGAAAGCCUGCACACGUUCGCCUUCUUUUAUGAUGAUCUGGGAGUUCCACAAGAUUACAGGCACAUGGAAGGCUCUAGUGUUCACGCCUAUACCCUCAUCAGUAAGGCAGGGAAAGUACACUAUGUGAAAUUUCAUUGGAAACCUACUUGUGGAGUGAAGUGUUUGUUGGAGGAUGAAGCUAUUAAGGUUGGAGGAGCUAAUCACAGCCAUGCUACCAAGGACCUCUAUGAUUCCAUUGCAGCUGGCAACUACCCUGAGUGGAAACUUUAUAUUCAGACAAUGGAUCCUGAUCAAGAGGACAGAUUUGACUUUGACCCUCUUGACUUAACUAAGACCUGGCCUGAAGAUAUCCUUCCCCUGCAGCCAGUUGGCCGUUUGGUUCUGAAUAAAAACAUCGAUAACUUCUUUGCAGAGAAUGAACAACUUGCGUUUAACCCUGCCCAUGUUGUCCCUGGUAUCUACUAUUCAGAUGAUAAGAUGCUCCAAACUCGAAUCUUCGCAUAUUCGGAUACUCAGAGGCACCGUCUUGGCCCGAACUAUCUGCAGCUCCCAGUGAAUGCUCCCAAGUGUCCUCAUCAUAACAAUCAUCAUGAGGGAUUCAUGAAUUUCAUGCACAGGGAUGAGGAGGUUAAUUACUUCCCUUCAAGGUAUGAUCCUGUUCGUCAUGCUGAGCGCUUCCCCAUUCCUUCUAAUAUCCUUUCUGGAAAGCGUGAGAAGUGCGUCAUUGAGAAGGAGAACAACUUUAAGCAACCUGGAGAGAGAUACAGAUCUUGGGCGCCAGACAGGCAAGAUCGAUUCAUCCGCCGAUGGGUGGAUGCCCUAUCAGACCCGCGUGUCACCCAUGAGAUUCGCAGCAUUUGGAUCUCAUACUGGUCUCAGGACGACCAGUCGCGGAUCCCAUUAAGGUUUUGGGAACUAAGAUACUCAACCCUGAGUUGCCACGGAGCUCCCCUUGUCACCAAUUCACGAGCAUCAGCAGUGCAAGUGAUCAGCUCAUGCAUGGUGGUAGUGCGAGGAAGUUAGAUUCAGCACUAGGCAAGCGAAGAGUUAAAGGUGUGAGAACAAAAUACUUACUCUCAAUUUCAAACGAUAUUGUUUGCAAAAGCAGCAAGACCUACCUAGAGACAGAACCAAGAAGCAGGAACAUGAGACAUCUGCGUUCGCACCAAUGCCCUUGGCUUCUCCGGUAGAUUUUUCACCUGGUAAACCACCUGUUCCAAUGGAUUGCCAGCUGCUCAUUCCAGGCAACUUAGAUUCACUCCUGAAUCUCUGGUUCCUCGCUUGGUUGGUUCUGAGAAGAACCAUGAUGAGCAAAGGACAGAAGGGUUUCUACAUUUGCAGAACCUCUUGAAGCAAUUUGAUGAUUCUGAUCAGAGAGAAUACAUCCAGAGUAGCGCUUCGUCAAUUAUCGCCAUCUGAGCUUAGCAGACAUGCCGUUGAGCUAGAGAAAAGAUCAAUGCAGCUAUCAGUUGAGGAAGAGAGAGGAGACACGUGUCGACGCACAGAGGUACGACAAAUCCACAAGCGGAAUUACGGGGUGCCAUGGAGAGUAGGGACGACGUUGCACAAGUCGUGACAAAAUUGUAGACGAUGGAAAGCGCGAAGGCUGUGGAGCUCAAGGAAUGCGGAAAAAUUAGACGGUGUAAUGGUGCUAGGGUUCAUAUAUUAAAGGAAACGAAGGAAAAAGAAGAAUUACAACCACGCAGAAGAGAGAAAAGAAAGAAAGAAAAGAGAAAGGAAAGAAGAAAGAGAAAAGAGAGAAAAAGAAAGAAAAAGAAAGCAGUAAGAAAAUGUCGUAUCCCUUCCCAUCUUCUUUGGAUCUUAACCUAGCUCCGCCAACACAUACAUAGGGGCAAGCAGUUGCACCGGUCUGGAUGCCCUACUUUGCUUCUUCACGAGGACCAGUGACAAAAAGCGACUCGUUACUCCUUGACAACGAAGUUGCCAUGGGAGUUGCGAGGAGUUUGGUGACUCCUAGGGAUGUACGCAUACUAGGAACGGGGGAUGACAAUCGGUUAGUGAGCGAUGUUGUGGCACUGUGCUUGCAAAAUGCGACAACUAUCACAAGUGUGGGGCAUCGCCUCAUUGCAAAAUCUUAUGAGGUGCAAGUACUAAAAGCUUAGUUGUGGCAGAUCAGAAUUUGGUUGAUGAAUAUCGGCAUGACAUCAAAAGAUUGAAAAGAAAAAAAAGAAGAAGGAAGAAACAGCAGAGGAGAAUCAACGCCAGCUUCAAAUAUUACAGGCAGAAAAUGAAAAGUGAUCAAAGAUGGUAACUUUUUAUUAUAAAGAGAUGCAAAAACAGCUGGAGGCCUUGGAGAUCCUAGGGAAACGCAAACGAGAUCACGAUGGAAGUUUUGCUGAAGCUAAGAGAGUGAUCUUUGGGAGCUCAAGUGAUAAGCCCCAAGAAGUGGUGCGUAAAGACCUAAAAGAGGACAUCCAGAGGGCCAAACUAAAAUCUCCUAUGGUGGAUUCAGGAAGCGCGACAACAAGAUGAUGAAGAAGAAUUUUUUUAGGUUUGCCUCAAUGCACUCUUAAAGGGUGAAAUUCUUAGAGAGUGCUUUGAUUUUCUUUGAUGAUUUGAAGUUUUAACCGAUACGGGAAUAAUUACAGUAAAUCAAGUACAAUUUUAGCUUA